UACGUAGGGUGCAGGCGUUAAUCGGAAUUACUGGGCGUAAAGCGUGCGCAGGCGGUUUGCUAAGACAGGUGUGAAAUCCCCGGGCUUAACCUGGGAAUUGCGCUUGUAACUGGCAAGCUAGAGUGUGGCAGAGGGGGGUGGAAUUCCACGUGUAGCAGUGAAAUGCGUAGAUAUGUGGAGGAACACCGAUGGCGAAGGCAGCCCCCUGGGUUAACACUGACGCUCAGGCACGAAAGCGUGGGGAGCAAACAGG
rnacentral:rRNA from 1 species